ensembl:miRNA mir27c microRNA mir-27c
AUUCUAGCCUGGCUGUGCGGCAGCAGGACUUAGCCCACAUGUGAACAGUGAGUGUAUGCCAUGUUCACAGUGGUUAAGUUCUGCCGCCACAGGGCUGCAGCCAGCAU